GGCAGAUCUGCCCAUGACAGUCCAUCCUCGAAGAAGAGUGACCUUGCUAUAGUAAGUGAUAGACAUAGGUGUUGGCAACUUGCAUCUCUUCAGAAAAGGAAGGAAGAAUGGCAAGUUGCAUCUCUUCAGAAAAGGAACAAAGAAUUUGUGCAAAUGAAAAAUGUACAUAGGUAUCAGUUUUCUGGGGGAUAUUCUCAAUAUACCCUAAAUAACAAAACUAGUUUAAAAAAAAAACACAUUAAAAUGUUUAGCUGGGGCAGAAUGACUAGAAGAAUUAACUACAAAGCUGCUAGAAAAUUCUGGGCAUUCAUGGGAGAGAAUACAGUACUCUGCAAUGAAAAUGCAAAGAAAAGUUGGUAUAAUAUGAAAUGGUUAAUAAAGACAGUGAAUUGUACUAGACACAGAAGUCAUCCAGGGUAGUGGGAGAGAUGAACGCCAGCUUGAAAUUUGUGAGUAUACAGUGUAGGAGUGUCUUUGGGCUCCAUGCACUGAACAAUUUACAGUAUUUUUUUCUAAAGGAGUACAAUGUUUUGACCCAGAAGUGUCCUCAUUAUUUUUGUUGGUAAAAGAAUAUAUCCUUUUAAUCUCAAAUAUGUUUCUAUAAAAUCUUAAAACCGUAAGGAAAAAUGGGUGAUAUCAUAGGAAAUGUAUCAAAUUGUGGACAAAUACAAAACUCGACUCUCCACCUUCUCACAUACCAUGUAGUUAUUUCCAGUUGUGUAACCUGGAGAAUAAAAUGCUAAAAUUCUGAUUUGGUAAUUGCCAGAAUUCUAAUAAAAAUCCACACCUUGCAAAAUCUGAGUAUUGGGUAAAGGCAAAAAUUUUGAAAGUGCGUGUUGAGAAACCAAAUACAGAGAAGCGGUUGUAAAGUACAAUCAAGGGAGAAAACUAGAGAAAUUGAAGAUGACGAAGAAGUAUCUGAGACAAAAGUAUACAUGGAAAUACACAGUGGAAAUAAAGGAUUUGUGGUGGAGAACUGUUGUUUUCCCGGGGUUGAGGAACUGAGGGAUUUAACUGCAAGGACCUGUAAAUGAUACAAUGCAGACUGUUUGACUGUGCAGUAGAAGCUGUACAAUCUUUCCAAGCUCUGAGUCCUAACUGCCUGGCAACUCAAACCUCUUCAACCUUGGUGCCAAGUUCUGCAAUUUGUGCAAAGAUGCUAUUUAGUUCAGACAGCCUAAUUUCAUAAGAAUUGGUGUCAAGCAGGAAGCAUCCACUAGAAAUAAGCUCUGGCAGUGUUUAUUUGACAUUGUAGUCAAAUAAGGAUGCAGUCCGACCCACACUUUUUGACAUUGGCAUUGUUUCAUAAUGAGAAUGGUGAAGAGGGACGCAGCACCGACUGUCAGGGCCCUGGGAGCACUAACUGGCCUUAAUGACCCAGACGGACCUCGCCUGGGGCCUCCACGCACACCCCUGUCCAUGGGCCCAGGGGUUCCAUUUAGGCUUAGCCGUGGACCAUCAGGCCCUGCCUGAGCUCCAUUAGAGAUGUGCUUGUCACUGGUUUCUGUUGCUCUGGACUGUGACCUGUGGGCUGUCAUCCUGGUUUGAGUUUGCCACGUCACCAUGGACCUGCCUGGUAACUGCUGUGUCUGGCCCCAGUUGCCAUCACGGGACCUGACCUGUGGAUUGCUUUUCUGGCUUGACCUCGGAGCUGCCUCAUCGCCAUGAAGUUUUCUGGCAGUCUGGACUCCUGCUUGGUCCUGACUGCCAUCCCCAGGCCUGCCUGCCUUGUUUGAUGUUCAUGUAAUCCUAUCACCCUGUGGGAAACUAUGGAAAAAGGUGAACCUGCCUAUGUGGGCCCGCAGAGGUGGAGGUGUAAGUGAUCAGCUUGUACCGGGAGUUGCAGAAGUGGCAGGGAAGGAUGGCUUGAGCUGGAGGGAGAACUCACAGGGGCGGCAGGGCACAUGCAGUAUGAACUAUUGCUUAUGUGACAGUAUUUUGGGUUUCAGUUUCUCUGCUCAGCUUGCUUUUGCCACUUUUUAUUUAUCUUUCCCAUGUUCCUCUCUUGUCUGCAGACCUCAGCUCCCAUUGUAAUGCCUGGAUCCGAGCUGGUUUUUGGAGAAAGCGUGUCUGUAGGCAACUCUCACAGGUUGAUGUGUUUAAUGGAUGGUGAUCAAAAAGGACAAUAAACCAGCCAUAGUUGAGCGGUAGGGCUGACCAGACCUUAAAGCUGGGCCUCAGCACUGUGCAGAUUGGACCACCUGAAGUCUGUGCUAACGAACAGGCCGUGGGGCUGCAUUCAAGUGGAUGCCAUCCGUAUUUUCCGUAUGCUGACAAUGUCUCUGUCUUUCCAAGGCACCUGGAGCUCAACGGAUGCUGAAUUGGAUACUUGGGAACAUAAAGCAAACUUGAUGUGUUUUUUCCCCUUCCUAUUACAAACUACUUGUGCCUGUCACGCUCCCCACAAAAU